rnacentral:rRNA from 1 species
UACAGAGGGUGCGAGCGUUUGUUCGGAAUUAUUGGGCGUAAAGCGCGUGUAGGCGGCUUUGCAAGUCGGGUGUGAAAGCCCUCAGCUUAACUGAGGAAGUGCGCCCGAAACUGCAUUGCUUGAGUACCGGAGAGGAUGGCGGAAUUCCCCAAGUAGAGGUGAAAUUCGUAGAUAUGGGGAGGAACACCGGUGGCGAAGGCGGCCAUCUGGACGGAUACUGACGCUGAGACGCGAAAGCGUGGGUAGCAAACAGG